rnacentral:rRNA from 1 species
CCUACGGGAGGCAGCAGUGGGGAAUAUUGGACAAUGGGCGAAAGCCUGAUCCAGCCAUGCCGCGUGUGUGAAGAAGGCCUUCGGGUUGUAAAGCACUUUCAGUGGGGAAGAAAGCCUUGGGGCUAAUACCCUCGAGGAAGGACAUCACCCACAGAAGAAGCACCGGCUAACUCCGUGCCAGCAGCCGCGGUAAUACGGAGGGUGCGAGCGUUAAUCGGAAUUACUGGGCGUAAAGCGCGCGUAGGCGGUCUGAUAAGCCGGUUGUGAAAGCCCCGGGCUCAACCUGGGAACGGCAUCCGGAACUGUCAUGCUAGAGUGCAGGAGAGGAAGGUAGAAUUCCCGGUGUAGCGGUGAAAUGCGUAGAGAUCGGGAGGAAUACCAGUGGCGAAGGCGGCCUUCUGGACUGACACUGACGCUGAGGUGCGAAAGCGUGGGUAGCAAACAGGAUUAGAUACCCCAGUAGUC